rnacentral:rRNA from 1 species
UACGUAGGGUGCAAGCGUUGUCCGGAAUUAUUGGGCGUAAAGAGCUCGUAGGCGGUCUGUCGCGUCUGCUGUGAAAACUCGGGGCUCAACCCCGAGCCUGCUUCCGAUACGGGCAGACUAGAGGUAUGCAGGGGAGAAUGGAAUUCCUGGUGUAGCGGUGAAAUGCGCAGAUAUCAGGAGGAACACCGGCGGCGAAGGCGGUUCUCUGGGCAUUACCUGACGCUGAGGAGCGAAAGUGUGGGGAGCGAACAGG